UAUGUCAUGUUAUCGAUAUGUGAAUACAUAGCAUAUCAGAAGGCACACCCGGAGAACUGAAACAUCUUAGUACCCGGAGGAAGAGAAAGAAAAUUCGAUUCCCUUAGUAGCGGCGAGCGAAAUGGGAAGAGCCCAAACCAACAAGCUUGCUUGUUGGGGUUGUAGGACACUCUAUACGGAGUUACAAAGGACGACAUUAGACGAAUCAUCUGGAAAGAUGAAUCAAAGAAGGUAAUAAUCCUGUAGUCGA
rnacentral:rRNA from 1 species